ACAUCGGUCCACCGGGCAGGAGGACGCCC
rnacentral:sRNA from 1 species